GACGAAGAAGGUCAAAAACUAGAGAGGAAACAGAAGAAGGGUUUCUUCAGUAUCUUUGAGAAAAAGAAGAAACCUGAGGAGGAGAAACCACCGACCCCAUCAGAAAACCUGCAGAGCCUCCUGUCCCUGAAAGACCUCUUUGCUGGCAUCAGAUCUAUGGAGCCGGUCUGGAGCUCAGCUAGUGAGACAGCUAUAGUCGGCUCAUGUGUAUGCGAAGAAAGGAAGAAGUCGACAUACGUCCUUUUUCAUAAGAGACACGAGAGUCUAAAACUGGAUGAAUACUGGAGACUGGAUGAGCAUCGGGAUCCCUCUGAUCAUGUAGGAACAACCACAGGGACAAGGUUAAGUAUGUACUAACCCUCUCUUGUCUUCAGUGCAGAUUUUAGGGGCAAGGACCUGAAGGCACCAGGAUCCCCCAGAAAGAGUGUCUUAUUCCUGGCAUUAUCGUGUCCAAAGGAGCAGCCACAGGGACAGAGAGGUUAGUUGUUAGUUCUCUCCAUCAUCACUGUAGACUCCAGGACCUGAAUGCACCACGAACCUCAACAAUAGUGCCAGGAUCAUUGAGUCUGCAGGAGCAGCUUCUUCUCAGGGUAGCGGUUGGUACUGUGUGGUCAGCACCAACAGCCACGUUGGCACCGCACAAGGAUGACACUACAUCGCUGACGCUCUACAUCCAGACUACUGUCUCUACGAGCCGAGUGACCGCUGGCUCACACUGAACAACUCAAAGUUGGUGAAUGUGGAGGGUGAGGACAGCAGACCAAGGAAGACCAAGAAGACCAGUGUUGGGUAGAUGGAGAGAAGCACCAUCUGGAGGACACCACAACCCACCUCCACCACCAUCACACCCCCUGGAGAAGGACACACCGAUGGCCUGAAGGAGCUGGAUGUCCCCCCUGCCCUCAGGAGGAAGGACCCCAGAGAGCCUGGUUCCUCUCAAGGUUUCUUCCUCUUAAAGGGAGUUUUUUCUUGCCACUGUCGCCCCAUAAAAGCUGGACAAUGAACAACUAACCCAUUGGAUAUAUUUGAUUAAAUUAAAUUGAUUUAAUUUUAAAAAUAAAUUGAUUAACUUCAAUUUACUUUUACAUCUUUAAUGGUUAGAUGGUUGUUCACUCUAGCAGUUUUUUUUUGGCUUGCUCUCUGGGGAAGGUUUGUAUGUACAA